rnacentral:rRNA from 1 species
AUAGCGUAUAUUAAAGUUGUUGUGGUUAAAAAGCUCGUAGUUGGAUCUCAGUUCGAGUCAGGCGGUCCACUUGCCAGUGGCUACUGCCUGACUGAACACUUUACCGAGUUGUCCUAUGGUGUUCUUCACCGAGCGUCAUAGGCGAUCGGUACGUUUACUUUGAAAAAAUUAGAGUGCUCAAAGCAGGCGUAACGCCCGAAUAAUGUUGCAUGGAAUAAUGGAAUAGGACCUCGGUUCUAUUUUGUUGGUCUUCGGAAUCAGAGGUAAUGAUCAAUAGGGACAGACGGGGACAUUCGUAUUGCGGCGCUAGAGGUGAAAUUCUUGGACCGUCGCAAGACGAA